rnacentral:misc_RNA from 1 species
UAACUGCGUGCAGACGUGUGAACUGCAGGACACAUGAACACCGACGUUUCGAACGCAAAUGGCGGUCUAAAGUAAAUUUUAGACCACGUCUGGCUGAGGGUCGGAUUUGAAAUAAAAACCAAAGUUACUCCAACUAAUGGCAUAUGUAUGUAUAUCUUUAUUGAUAUGAUGUUGCCUGUUGGGUUUCAGUUUCAUCGCUGGGUUUUACAGCCCAGUUAGAAUUGUUGGUAUCCUUAUGGAAGCUCUGUUUAACUACAUUGCUAGCUAAUUUGAAAAAAAAUUAUUACCUUUUAGCGGUGUAAAUGCCGCUAAGUCGUAUAAUAAUUGGCGAAAACAUUUGAUACCACUAUUUAUUUGUAUAUAAAUCAAACAUACGACCUCAGAGUAGGCGAGAUUACCC